rnacentral:rRNA from 1 species
GAUGAACGCUGACAGAAUGCUUAACACAUGCAAGUCAACUUGAACUUCGGUUUGGGUAGCGGACGGGUGAGUAACGCGUAAAGAACUUGCCUCACAGCUAGGGACAACAUUUGGAAACGAAUGCUAAUACCUGAUAUUAUGAUUAUAUGGCAUCGUAUAAUUAUGAAAGCUAUAUGCGCUGUGAGAGAGCUUUGCGUCCCAUUAGCUAGUUGGAGAGGUAACAGCUCACCAAGGCGAUGAUGGGUAGCCGGCCUGAGAGGGUGAUCGGCCACAAGGGGACUGAGACACGGCCCUUACUCCUACGGGAGGCAGCAGUGGGGAAUAUUGGACAAUGGACCGAGAGUCUGAUCCAGCAAUUCUGUGUGCACGAUGAAGUUUUUCGGAAUGUAAAGUGCUUUCAGUUGGGAAGAAAAAAAUGACGGUACCAACAGAAGAAGUGACGGCUAAAUACGUG